CCUCAAAAAAAAAAAAAAAAAAAGGCAGACAAGGAUGGAUUCCAAGCCGAUAUAGCUAAAUAACUGCCCUGCACUGCAUGAACGACCCUGUCCAUCACGCUCACUACGUCAACAUUUUUCCAAACAUAGAAGCACAUGAGAAACGACAGCAAGUCUACCAAGAUUCAUCUCCCCUAAAGAAAACCCAAUCUGCUUUAACGCGACCACCACACAAGCCGAAGAAAUGACAGUUUCCAGUAAAACCCAAACCCGCUGGUGUGGUAUCACGCUCUCCCUCUCGGAGCCACGCAGGGCAUCGGCCCCAGCCUGGGGUUCGCCGCAGGGACACACCGACACUGAACUACAACGCUGAAGCUUUGGGUUCUGAAGUUCGCAAAUCGUGCUAAAGAGAGCAUUCAACAUACCGGGAGAAAGCGUAGCUCCCCGGCACAUGGCACACCAACGCUAGCGGCAGCGAGUGGGAGGGAAAAGGGGCAGGAAAGAAGAUAUGUGAAUUUUGAAAUUCAAAGAUAGCAGGGGGGGUUAAAGUAAACUUAACCUAGCAACACCCUACUAAAAGAUGAAACACCUUUCGCCCAUACAAGAAUACUGUGAAAUUUUGAAAACUGUUUUUAUUUUAAGCAUUCCGGAAGGUCGGUAUUCAGUAACAGAAAAUACAGGCAUUCAGAUUUCUCUCGCAAUAAAUAGAAGGAGGAAGAAAAUACUAAUUUUUGAGUGACGUUUUCUUGAAAUCCAACUAACUUUUCUGCUGCUACUGGUGUACCCGGUAAGUCUGAAGCUGCGGUUAUGGCCAGCAUGAGUUACCUUCCCCCUCCCCAUCACAUUUUGUGUAACAUUCUGCUGGUAGAAGAACAGCACAUUUCCAACCAAGGAGAGGAAAAAAUCACACACGUACAUAAGAAAUGCAUGAAAAAAGUGCAGCCGGUAAAUUUUGCCAGUGGUACAACAUUAAUUUAGAAAUACAUACAUCUUUACCUGCUUACAUGUAUAUGCAGUAUUUAAGUGGAGAGUGGGGACACAUUGGCAGUUUAGACCAUGGUGGAGUGUCAGCAUGACUGCAGUCAGGUAUGGGCUCUUCAGCUGAUGCACAACAAAAAGGGUGCAGGGAAAGAUGAGGAAGAGGAGUUGAAUGAAUAAAUGGGUUAUUCCUCACGUUUAAAAUCCUUGGUGGCCAACUGAAGUCCUUCCACGGUGGAAUCAAAGCGAGAAGUUUCUGAAAUAAAAAAAAGAAGAGAUUCUGCUGAAAUGCCACAACAGUACAGACUGCAGAAAGACUAACGGUUGCAAAUCCCACCCUCAGACUGAGAAAAGUUCACCCAUCUGAUAUUUUUAAAAGUCUCUUUCUUUCUCCUACUCAGCUGUUGGUUAUUUCUUUAAAAAGUUAAGAAGAACAGAGAGGAAGCAGAUGACGGAAAGUAAAGGAAAAAUAAAAAAUGCAAGGAGAAUGGAAAAGGAAGAGAAGAAAACACGGAUGUCAAAACUAGAGACAGUAAGGACCUAGCAAUCUCAAGGCUGAAAAAUAAGGAGAAGAGUAACACAGCAUAAUUUUUUUUUCUCUACAUGUCACAAACACUACAUAAUGAACAGCCGUUCAACCGAUACUACUAUAGCAUAGCUACAUCUCAUAAUUGUUUUGUUACGUUGCAAAUUUUUUCCCAUUCCAUUCACUCAGGACCUCACAGGCCUCCAAGUUAUGGAAUUCACGUGAGGCACCAGGACAACCUGAUGGUUAGUCUUUCCUGAGAGCUCCAGAAACACUGUUCUGGGCAGCUCUUAUUCCCCCUGGUAAUUAUACUCUCUGCUUAAGUAAAUUUUAGGCCAGGUUUUCCUGGUAAGCGCUGUAAAAGGCAGGUGAGGUUUUCUGGUCAUAAUUCUGUACACUUUUUCACGCUUCAUUUUCUUUAAAAUUAGUGGUUAAAUGUCAAAGGAUAGAGAAAAUAUUUUUUUAUUAUUGUUGUAUCAAAGCAGCAAGUGGAAGAGGUUUGACCAUGCGAUGGUAUUUUCUGCGGCAAUACUGGAAGACUGCUUUACUCUGCUUUGUAUCUUUUAGAUUAUUUUUUCCAUGCUGGCCCUAAGACAGUCCUGUCUGUCCUAGUUCUACAUUCCUGCUCCUUUGCCCGUGUCCUGCUAAUCGCAUGGCUCAGACUGAAAACUUUCUGGAUGUCUUCAUGCAUUGGAUGAUGGAGCUGAACUGCCUCACUCUCUGGCUGCGGAAGCAUCGCAUCCAGCAAAGGGAAGUGACGGGAAUAGCACAGCCAGGGAAAGGAGGAGAGAUAACAUGUCAUCGAGAGAUUUGUCUCAUCAAAACCACGACCAUACUGGGCUGUCAUGGAGGAAGUCUUCCUGCAGUGAGUGACUGACCGCUAUGCUUCAAAAAGAAACAUGCCCGCUUUUAUUUUGCCGUAGUCCUGCAGAUAAAUGCUUAAACUGACA